rnacentral:tRNA from 1 species
AUCAAGUUGGCAGAUUAGUGCUUUUGAUUUAGGGUCUUAAUAUAAAAAGUUUUUUACUUGAUA